AUUAUGUUUUUUUUUUGAUUUGCC
rnacentral:misc_RNA from 1 species